rnacentral:lncRNA from 1 species
GGGAGAAGUACCACCAGUCCUUUGCCAAAGGAUGACGCUUGAAGGUGUAGAAAUUCUUAAACAAAGAAAACGUCGGCCGAACUUCUACUAAACUACAAAGAGAAAGAAACCCUAUCAAAAACCUAAAGGAGUUCGGCAUGAUGGAAGCUAGAGAGAUGUUCAGGAAAUGAAAGAAAGCAAUGACAAAGGACGGCAGUGGAAGCCAAAGUCCGGCACGGAAGGCCUCCUGGUACAGAC